rnacentral:lncRNA from 1 species
AUAUAAACUGUGGAUUCCUAGGUUGUCAUUGAAAACAAUAUUAACCAUGUUCUUAAACAUUGCCUUGUAAAUCAUAUCUGAAAAUUUGAAAAUAAGAAACGUGCAUGUGUGCCAUACCGCAAAAUUUUUGAAGACCUUCAGCGAAUCUUCUAAAUAAACUGAUAACUGCAUUGUAAAUUAAAAUGUUGUUGGUAAAAGUUAUAUGAAAAUCAUGUUAAUUGUGGACCUGAAUACUGGGAGAAAAUGUACUACGAAUAAAGAAUUAAAUAGAUGUGAGAAACAAUUUCAAAAAAGUGGGAGCUUAGGGCUCGUUCAGUAAUCACUACCAAAAGAAAGGCUUUAGCCGACGAAAAUAAAAAAACCAGGCCAACGAAUUUUUUUUCGUCGGCUAAUUUAAAAUUUUCGUCGGCUAUGGUCAACUUUAGCCGACGAAAUUAAUAUUUCGUCGGCUGAAUAAUUUUUUUCGUCGGCUAUAGUCUGUAAACUUUAGCCGACGAAAUUUUUAAAAGUUUAGCCGACGAAAUUUUUAAAAGUUUAGCCGACGAAAAA